rnacentral:lncRNA from 1 species
CGCCUGUGAAGGGGUCAGGGGAAAUUUCCUGCUCAUUUAUGGGGCCUCAUUUGGGAUACGUCAGCAGGCCCCCAUGGCCUGGUGUUUGGUCUGAUCACCCCAACAUUUCUGGCACCCAACGUGGGGCUAUGAAGACCCCAGUGAAGGAACACUAGAGCAUGCGGAACUGGAGGACGCAUUGUCAGAGGACACCCGAGGAUGACUGAAAGAAGCUCGGUGGGAAAGCUGAGCACUCGGAAGAAACAGGGUAACAACAGGACAGAAUGAAACAAGCAGUACAACAAGGCAUUCCCCUUUCUAUAUCACUCAUAUGAGAGCACAUACUAACCUCCCUGGACCUUUAACUAAACUUAAUCAAAGGGUGGAUAAUUACAUGGGGAAGAGGAUUUGUUUGUGUUUAUCCAGGUGACAAUCAGGUGCCUGUGUGGGUGCCCACCAAACAUCUGAAGAUCUAUUAUGAGCUACAGCAGGAAGAGAGGACUCUGGGAAGAGCCAGAUAUAAGCAAUGUCACAAAUAAACAUCUCAGAGAUGAAGGAGAAAACCAAUCUCCCCAAAACAAUGCCCCCUGUCAGCAAGAAGUAGCUAUGAUCAGUCAUCGUUCAUAUUCCAACAGCAGUUAGAUGUGCCUCUUCUGAGGCAGGGAGUGAUAGGGACAGGAGGCAAGGAAAUUCUGGGCAGAAGAGGGCAGGUGCCCAGUGAAGGCCCGAACCUGAAGCCUGGAACCACAGCCCAAAGUGAGAACAUGCAUUCCUGUUUUCCCGCUCAAAUGUUGCCUUUUCCAAAACCACCCAUGGCCCGCCCCCACACCUCAUCCUAUGCCCAUAAAAAACCCAGGUUCCACUGGCAGACAGCAGAGAAGAGGAGAAGCAUCUGGACAUCAGAGAGUACAGUUGGAUGUUGGAGAGAAGCAGCUUGACUUCACAGAGACGGCUUGAUGGCAUUGCUCCAGGGGAAGAUCACCUUCCUGCUCCAUCCCCUUUCCAGCUCCCCUUCCCACUGAGUGCCACUUUCAUCAACAAUAAAAUCCCCUGCAUUCACCACCCUUCAAUUUGUGUUACCCGGACGCCAAACAAGAGCUGAGGUACCAUGGGAGCAGAUGCAAAAGGCUGUCACACUGACCCUCUGCCCUCACUGGUGGAAAGCAGCCACCUCAUGAGAAAAGGCAGAGGGCCCACUGAGCUGUUAACACUUAAGCCAUCUGUGGAUGGCAGCACUGAAAGAGCACUGACUAUAACAUUCCUUCUGGGGCUUUGGGCGUCAUGGGUACUUCUCCCAGAUGCUGCCGCAGGGCGCAUGCAGUUUUGCCCCUGCUGACACCCAAAAGCACUCACCCUGGCUCCUACAACUGCUCACCUGCGUGUUCCCUCCCACGAGGGUUGAACACAAGGGGUUCGGGUGAGUGGAGUUUUCCCCUGCUGGUGCCAAAGCUGUGGGUAGCUCCAGUGCCUGUACUUCAGUUCCUGCC